GUGAUGAAUAUUGGUCAAUGGGCGAGAGCCUGAACCAGCCAAGUCGCGUGAAGGAAGAAGGAUCUAUGGUUCGUAAACUUCUUUUGCAGGGGAAUAAAGUGCGGGACGUGUCCUGUUUUGUAUGUACCCUGAGAAUAAGGAUCGGCUAACUCCGUGCCAGCAGCCGCGGUAAUACGGAGGAUCCGAGCGUUAUCCGGAUUUAUUGGGUUUAAAGGGUGCGUAGGUGGUUUGAUAAGUCAGCGGUGAAAGUUUGCAGCUUAACUGUAAAAAUGCCGUUGAAACUGUCGGACUUGAGUGUAAAUGAGGUAGGCGGAAUGCGUGGUGUAGCGGUGAAAUGCAUAGAUAUCACGCAGAACUCCGAUUGCGAAGGCAGCUUACUAAGCUACAACUGACACUGAAGCACGAAAGCGUGGGGAUCAAACAGGAUUAGAUACCCGAGUAGUCC
rnacentral:rRNA from 1 species